UACGUAGGGUGCGAGCGUUAAUCGGAAUUACUGGGCGUAAAGCGUGCGCAGGCGGUUCGCUAAGACAGAUGUGAAAUCCCCGGGCUCAACCUGGGAACUGCGUUUGUGACUGGCGGGCUGGAGUGCGGAAGAGGGAGGUGGAAUUCCACGUGUAGCAGUGAAAUGCGUAGAGAUGUGGAGGAACACCGAUGGCGAAGGAAGCCUCCUGGUCUAGCAUUGACGUUCAUGCACGAAAGCGUGGGGAGCAAACAGG
rnacentral:rRNA from 1 species